UUGCGGAAGGAUCAUUA
rnacentral:rRNA from 2 species